UAGGGAAUCUUCGGCAAUGGACGAAAGUCUGACCGAGCAACGCCGCGUGAGUGAAGAAGGUUUUCGGAUCGUAAAACUCUGUUGUUAGAGAAGAACAAGGACGUUAGUAACUGAACGUCCCAUGACGGUAUCUAACCAGAAAGCCACGGCUAACUACGUGCCAGCAGCCGCGGUAAUACGGAGGUGGCAAGCGUUGUCCGGAUUUAUUGGGCGUAAAGCGAGCGCAGGCGGUUCCUUAAGUCUGAUGUGAAAGCCCCCGUCUCAACCGGGGAGGGUCAUUGGUAACUGGGAGCCUGGAUUGCAUAAGAGGUGUGUUGUAUUCCAUGUGUAGCGGUGAAAUGCGUAGAUAUAUCCAGUAACUCCAGUGACGAAUGCGGCUCUCUGGUCUGUAACUGACGCUGAGGCUCGAAAGCGUGGUGAGCAAACAGU
rnacentral:rRNA from 1 species